rnacentral:lncRNA from 1 species
GUUCAUGCUGUUGGCGGCAAUUUCAAAUUAGAAAAAGAAAUUUUCGUAUCUUUUCAAUUUGGAGGCAGGUGUGCAAAUUAGCGUUGGUCCGAGGUCCGCGACAUUCCACAUUUGCAAGCGGAAUUUCGACAAGGAUAGUUGGUUUCUAGCUACGCCCGACGUAGUCACCUUCCACUUGAAAGAAAAUAAAAAUUAACUUUGCAAACCUGUUCACCAAAGUCUCCAAUUAAACGAGCUAAAAACUUAUUUUUAUCAUUAUUAUUCAUGACAGCGAUGUUCAUUUUGUUCAACCGCUAGCUUUAUACAGAAAAUCGCCGAUAAAUAUUGUAUAAAUUCGAGUAAAAUCGUAUCUGAUUGACAAAAACAACAUUGUAAACACAUAACAAUGGCGGCUGUAAAGACACAACUUUACAAUAUCGGAUCCGAUUCCGGAAGCGAAUAAGGGUAAUUCCGGGUUUGGCGGUCAAUUACAAAAUAAAUCCAAGCAGAAUACAUCCAUACAUGGUAGAGGGCCCUCAUGGGGUUUUUGAUUAUGUGAUUACUUGGCCGUUUUUUUAAUGAUUAUUUGAUUAUUAAGCCAAAUAUUUCAUGAUUAUUUGAUUACCUAGGACUGUAUUUUUAGUUUAUGAUUAUUUGAUUACUAAAGAUAAGCAAAUAUUUAAUGAUUAUGUGAUUAUAUUAGCAAAAAAAUGGUGAUUAUGUGAUUACUAGGACCCCCCCCCCCCAUGAGGGGCCUCAUGGUAAAUGAAUAUAAACACUAGAAUUGUAAACCAAAAGAUAUAUGUAAAAGAAAGAAAAAGCAGAAAAAAUAUUCAAUACAGAAACUCAAAAUUCUUUUUGACAAAUUUCAAUUUAAAAAUCCAAUACAACGUGACAGCUGGGAACAGUAUAUCUAACAAUAUACAUGUUCAUGGUCACAGUCUAAAUUUUCUUUAUCAGUGAUAAAUGAUGAUAACGCAUGUGAGAUGCUUUUUAAGUAUAAACAUAUUACUGCAAUUUCGAAGGGUUAUUUUUUUAUCUCAAUUUUGAAGGGUCAAUUGAAGUAGCUGAAAGUUUCUUUCUUUAUUUUCACAAAUAAUGCAACUAUAUUAUAUAUACCUGAAUGUAAGUAAAUCAUAUGAUAUAUAGGUAGCAUCCUUUGGGCCACUCUACCCCCUCCUGUUUAAUAACUUGGAAACGGUCGAGCUUCCCACCCCUAAUCCAUAUGAGGGGCAGAUCCAGGAUUUUAGGUUAGGAGGGGCGCAAACUUAAAUUUUCUCCGAGCCGAGCAAGGCUAAAAAAAAAUUGAGGUAAAAUUAUCGGAAUAUUCUUUAUUAAGCUGAGAACAACCCAUGCUUUGCAUACAUGUAUAUAUUCAUGUUUGUGACAAUAUAACAAAUCAGAUGAAAUAUAGGGGGAGUCCCUUGGGUCACCCCACCCCUCCUGUUUUAUAAUUUAAAAAUGGUCGAGAUCCCCA